GUGAAUCAUCGAAUUUUUGAACGCAAAUUGCGCCUUUUUCGGUAGGCAUGUCUGUUUGAGGGCCCCAUUUAACAAAUAAUGUGCUUUUCGUGUGCACACGUUGAUGAGCUUUCCAAAAUUAUGUAUUAUUAUUUUUGGUGGCGCAUAAUAAACAGCGCGAUCCUUUUUUUCAGUUCGGGUGUAUGAAAAUUUUUUCUCGCUUAGGUUGUGAAAAGCGUGAUCGCGCAAUGUGUGUGGCGCUUCUACUAACCCUGCCCCAACGCCCCUAUUUCUCUCUAAGGACUAUUAAUCUUCAGACCC
rnacentral:misc_RNA from 1 species